rnacentral:rRNA from 14 species
CGGGAAAAGGAUUGGCUCUGAGGGCUGGGCCACUCGGGCGAGUCUCUGAUCGUCUAACUGCUCGGACUUCGGCUAUGCCGUGACUCGAGUGAUGCGGCGUGAUGUGCUCGCUAGGUCGGACGUGUUCGUUGAGGGCCGCGGGCAACCGUGGUCGGAGGGCGCGUUCGGUCGUCUUGUGGCGUAGAACAGCUAUCUCAGAACUGGCACGAUCCAGGGGAAUCCGACUGUCUAAUUAAAACAAAGCAUUGUGAUGAACGGCGAUCGUUGCUCACACAAUGUGAUUUCUGCCCAGUGCUC